GGUUUCUUUGUAAAACUAAAAUCCAUCGGAGACCCAGAGGGAAUUCUCAAAUUAGCGAGCGAGUGGUCAUCUGCUUUGUGUCCAAAGCUUGACCAACCAAACGGACCGAACUACCAGUGAACUUUUAAGCUCCGCAAAUAUAUACACACAGCCUUCUGUGUAAAACCCUCCGUCUUUUUGAAAAACUUCACUUUAACUACAAUCACACUUGUCAAUCCCAAAACUCCAGUACUUUUUAUUUUCUCUCCGAGGCUUUUAAGAAAACAGUUUUAAAAAGGAUCUGGGAGGCAGUGCUUGCGGUGGACUUCUGAUCUUCAUGACUUUUUUGUGGAUGCUGUUAUGUAACUUGUUGGACCCGAAAGUGACUGUUUCUAUUUAAAAUUAACCAUUUGCAGGUGCAAUCCUCUGGAUGCGACUAGAAAUUUGUGCACACAGACAUGCAAAUAUUGAUGUUGAUGUAUCUGAUUCCUGAAAGCGAUUGCAAUUUGUCUUCAUUCUUUUUGUAGAAUUACCAUCUUGAAAAGUUGCAGCAGAAUCUCCUGCUAAAUAUUCUAAUAGUGAGAGGACAGUCUCUGGAGAGAGCCUGUCUGGUGUGGAUUUUUCCUGGGAAGUGUGCUAAUUAAUGAAGCGUUGACAAUACAAAUGGAGGUUCAAAAACAUCUUCAUGCGCAGCUUGAGGUGCAAAAACAGUUACAAGUUAGAAUUGAAGCUCAGGGGAAAUACUUGGAGAGGAUCAUUGAGGAGCAGCAAAAACUUGGAGGUGCACUAAAAGCCCCUAAAGCUGUACUAUCAGCUGCUGACAAGGGCAAUUCAUCACUUUCACAGCCUCCUCCUGAUGCCCCUGUGGAAUCCUCUUCCUGAUCUAUUGGGAUGGCUCACAAAUUUAUCUAUUGAAAGCAUGAUUUCGGUGGUUAAAUUAAAGUCGGUAUGGUUCUGAUGCGAUAUUUAAUGUGUUGUUAAAGUAAGACUCCCCAAACUGUGAGCUAAAAAAUGUUUAUCACUGUAGAUAAAAUGUUUACUUUAUGUAAAUUAUUAACUUAAAUGUAUUUUAUUCGUAAUAAAAUGCAUAAUUAGUUAGUUUUUCUGUUUGUACAA